rnacentral:rRNA from 1 species
GACAGAGGGUGCAAACGUUGCUCGGAAUUACUGGGCGUAAAGCGCGUGUAGGCGGUUUCGCAAGUCAGGUGUGAAAGCCCGGGGCUCAACCCCGGAAGUGCACUUGAUACUACGGAGCUGGAGUACUGAAGAGGAGAGCGGAAUUCCCGUGUAGAGGUGAAAUUCGUAGAUAUCGGGAGGAACACCAGUGGCGAAGGCGGCUCUCUGGGCAGAUACUGACGCUGAGACGCGAAAGCAUGGGGAGCAAACAGG